AGGGGAGGAAGGGAGAAGAGAACGAGUCAACUCCACGCCAGCUAGGCCCGAAGACAAGACACUGACUCCAGCCCAAGGCCGCAGCACACAUCUGACUCUCGGCUGCCUGCCAAGAAAGACGGGGGCCUAUUCCACCCUGACGAGCCAUGAGAAAGGAGGAUUCCAUGGAACAGAACUGCAGGAGAGGCAAAAACGAGCGAGACAGUGAAGGCCAGUGCGGGGGAAAACAACCGUUUUCGCAUCCCUGGAACCAGUGUGUUUUGGGAAAGCUGAGGAGGCCACAGAGAGCCGGUUUGGUCUGGUACAAAGAGCACCAGGAACAGAGUUCCCUGAACGAAAUCCCCCCAAAAGAACCCAGGACUUAAAAACCCUCCUGAGAGCCGAAGCAAGUUGGAGAUCACAGCAGACCCUGGAUGACCCGUGCACAGGACAAGAACUCCCGUCCACCUUUCCCCUCUUCUUCUUACAUUACAUCCCGAUCUGGCCAGCCUCGGGUUGUGUGUAUAAAUGUUCAGAUCUAUGGGAUCUCAUCACAGUCCAUGCUGCAUGAAUAAGUCCAAGGAUAUGUGUUGAUGCUAUGGAAUGAACUCACAGCCCCUGCAACGAAAGCCAUUUAUCCACCCAGCGGGAAUGGCAUGGACAGAGGAGGUUCCAGCUCCAGGUCACUGUCACAGUUGUAUGCAUCAGAGUACACCAAAUCUUCCCUGUGGUAUUUGCAUCUCCCAGUUGCACAGGUACUCAGACAGCCACAGUCCACAAAGGUGCGGAUGGCUUCUGGAGCAAGUUGCAGCAUCAUAGUUUUAGAAACAAGCUAGCCUAUCCAUUGUUGACAUGGGGUCCUUGAAGAUUCUGGAAGAGCUGCUCAUAGGGAAUGGGAUGGACAGGAGAAACCAAGCAGUUUAAAUUCCUCAGGCAUAGGAGGACUGAGCCCUUCAGUAAGAAGAGACUUCGAUGAACUGGUUCAUGGAGCAGGAGGCACACCACAUGGAAUGGGAGCAUUACCUAAUGAAGGGGUUCAUAAAACUUGUGGCCGAACAAGUUUGGGGUGCAUUUUCUGCCACUGCACCUGUCAUGGACCACAACCUCUUCCCUCCUCCUCCAACUGCCAUCCAGAGUUCUGCUGAGCCAGAGGACCCUCUUUCUAGAAACCACUCUCUGCCCCAUGCAAGUGACCAGGAAGAGACCAGGAAACCAGCGUGACUCUCGGACAGCACCCUCCACCAACAGACAAAAUCUCUCAUGGGGCAUCUACCCCUGAGCAUCAAGAAGGGGAAAAAUGAGCUUGUGGAAGUCCCUGAACCCUACCAAGUGCCUGCCCCAAGUCCCAUGGCAGGAGACAUUCCUGGUUUUCCCCCAAGAGUGAUUUUCCUCUGUUGUU